GAUCGCUGUGAUGCGGGUGGUUCGCCGCUCGUGACUCUGCGAGAAGUCCAUUGAACCUUAUCAUUUAGAGGAAGGAGAAGUCGUAACAAGGUUUCCGUAGGUGAACCUGCGGAAGGAUCAUUGUCGAGACCGAAAUAUAUCGAGCGAUCUUGAGAACCUAUCAAAAUAAGCGGUGGGUAUUGCUGCUGCAAAUAAAAUUCAUCCUAGUUGUCUACUCGUCCCAUCCUUGGGGUGGGGAUGCGAUGAAGGAUGGAUGAACCCUCAAACCGGCGCAGCAUCGCGCCAAGGGAAUUUCGAAACAUGAGCCAUAAAAUGGGUUAUGUGUCUUGGGGUGCUGUUGCAUGCCAUAUGGAUUGAAAUGACUCUCGGCAAUGGAUAUCUCGGCUCUCGCAUCGAUGAAGAGCGCAGCGAAAUGCGAUACGUGGUGCGAAUUGCAGAAUCCCGCGAACCAUCGAGUCUUUGAACGCAAGUUGCGCCUGAGGCCAACCGGCCAAGGGCACGUCUGCCUGGGCGUCAAGCGAUAUGUCGCUCUGUGCUAAGUUAACCAUCGAUGGAUGGGUUGGCGAAGGCUCGGAUGUGCAUAAUGGCUCGUUGUGCCCCUCAGCGUGGCGGGCUGAAGAGGGGGUCAUCAUCUUGUUAGUCGCAAACAAUAAGGGGUGGAUAAAUAUGAGGCCUAUGUUAUUGUGUUGUGCAUGCCCAAGAGAUGAUUAAACCUUUUUUGUGAUCCUAAAUCAUGCGUCAAUCCAUGUAUGGCGUUUUGAAUGCGACCCCAGGAUGGGCGAGGCCACCCGCCGAGUUUAAGCAUAUCAAUAAGCGGAGGAGAAGAAACUUACAAGGAUUCCCCUU
rnacentral:rRNA from 1 species